AAAUGAAGUGCCUGAUUUAAAAGGAUUAUUUUGAUAGAAUAAAUUAUGUAAACUUUUUACCUUCAUU
rnacentral:tRNA from 1 species